CAUGGUCACUCCUACGGGAGGCAGCAGUGGGGAAUAUUGCACAAUGGGCGCAAGCCUGAUGCAGCCAUGCCGCGUGUGUGAAGAAGGCCUUCGGGUUGUAAAGCACUUUCAGUCGUGAGGAAGGUAGUGUAGUUAAUAGCUGCAUUAUUUGACGUUAGCGACAGAAGAAGCACCGGCUAACUCCGUGCCAGCAGCCGCGGUAAUACGGAGGGUGCGAGCGUUAAUCGGAAUUACUGGGCGUAAAGCGCAUGCAGGUGGUUUGUUAAGUCAGAUGUGAAAGCCCGGGGCUCAACCUCGGAAUAGCAUUUGAAACUGGCAGACUAGAGUACUGUAGAGGGGGUAGAAUUUCAGGUGUAGCGGUGAAAAUGCGUAGAGAUCUGAAGGAAUACCGGUGGCGAAGGCGGCCCCCUGGACAGAUACUGACACUCAGAUGCGAAAGCGUGGGGAGCAAACAGGAUUAGAUACCCUGGUAG
rnacentral:rRNA from 1 species